CCUGCCCCUAGAAGUAUUGCAGGUAUGGCUGCUGUGUCGUAUGUGUGAUGGUAGGUGGCAGAGAGAAGAGAGACUAUGUCUAUGCUCACCUGAAUGUAGGGGUUGUAGGUGAGACAGUCCCUGAUG